rnacentral:rRNA from 1 species
GUCUACAGCCACGCCACCCUGAACAUGCCUGAUCUCGUCUCAUCUUGGAAGCUAAGCAGGGUCAGGCCUGGUUAGUACUUGGAUGGGAGACCAUCUAGAAAGACCAGGUGCUGUAGAUG